GACGAACGCUGGCGGCGUGCUUAACACAUGCAAGUCGAACGAAAAUACCAAGCUUGCUUGGUUGAUUAGUGGCGAACGGGUGAGUAACACGUGAGUAACCUGCCCCUUACUUUCCUGGAUAACUGCUCGAAAGGGUAGCUAAUACGGGAUAUUCUGACCAGUCUGCAUGGGUUGGUUUGGAAAGGUUGUUUUUCUGGUAAGGGAUGGGCUCGCGGCCUAUCAGCUUGUUGGUGGGGUGAUGGCCUACCAAGGCUUUGACGGGUAGCCGGCCUGAGAGGGUGGACGGUCACACUGGGACUGAGAUACGGCCCAGACUCCUACGGGAGGCAGCAGUGGGGAAUAUUGCACAAUGGGCGCAAGCCUGAUGCAGCGACGCCGCGUGAGGGAUGAAGGCCUUCGGGUUGUAAACCUCUUUCGUCAGGGAACAAGGCACUACGUUUUGGUGGUGUUGAGGGUACCUGGAUAAGAAGCGCCGGCUAACUACGUGCCAGCAGCCGCGGUAAUACGUAGGGCGCAAGCGUUGUCCGGAAUUAUUGGGCGUAAAGAGCUCGUAGGCGGCUGGUCGCGUCUGUCGUGAAAACUUCCGGCUCAACCGGGGGCUUGCGGUGGGUACGGGCCGGCUAGAGUGCGGUAGGGGUAACUGGAACUCCUGGUGUAGCGGUGGAAUGCGCAGAUAUCAGGAAGAACACCGAUGGCGAAGGCUUGGUUACUGUGCCGUUACUGACGCUGAGUAGCGAAAGCGUGGGGAUGCGAACAGG
rnacentral:rRNA from 1 species